GUGCUCUGAUGAAAAUUUAUAAACAUGUGUUUUACAGACACAAAAGCACAGAAACAAAGUGCAGGAUCUCACAGACAGAUCAAAGGGACAUGUAAGAUGAUUGCAUAUGUGACCCUCUAUAAACAUAUUUAUUUCUGCUCAAAGGACAAGAAGAAACAAACCUGAUGAUAAGAUAACUUAAAUGAGGGGUGAUUAGGUGUUUUCUCUGCCUGCAGUAGAAUUGACUUUUCCAUCUGGAUGCCACACAUUUCAUGUUCCGUCACAAAACGAAGCUGUUAAUAAGGGGGAGAGAGUGUGAAAGAAAAAUCCUUCCAAAUUAUGAUUCACAGUUGGAAUGGGAAAGCAUACAGGAGAUUGCUUUCUUCUUCCAGAGUGGGCAAUGGUGUGUGCCUCAUCACACAGGAUCUUUGCGAUCUGACUUCGUACCUGGAAGGAGUCAAAACCAAAACCAAAACAGGACUCAUUCCUGCAAUGGAGAAAGGAGGCCAGAAAGAA
rnacentral:lncRNA from 1 species